GAUCGGGAGUCAAAGCAAACACUGAAAUCGCAGUUCGGUAAAUAAAUCCUUCUCAUUCCCGAGGGUGUCUCACUUCCCAUACACGUUAAACGCCAUAUAAAUGCUCCCGAGGCUGAUAAAGCUCCUCAUUCAGUCGACUUUUACCUUCUAAAUGUGUUUCAGAUGGCUGAAGAGGCUUUACCAGUGUCUCCGGCGGAGAUGGUCCCGACAGAACCGAGGCUACAGCCGGGAGAUCUCCAUGAGCCACCACGGAUUCUGCUCCGGAGCCUUCGCCAACCGCCACGGCCACACCUCCUUCUCCUGCAGUGGGGAAAGCUCCGUCUCCUACAGCCGCAGACCCUUGUCCUGCCCGCCCCUGCCAGCACCAGCCCCCUACAGCAUCUCAGGGGGGUACUCGUGUGACACCGGUGGGGAUUGUGGGGUCACGUCUGGCUGGGACCCCAUGGUGGGGACGGUCCCAGUCUACGGCUCCGGAGUGGGAAUGGGGUACAGCGGCGAGGACGUGGGCCCGGUCAUCAGCAGCGCAGGGAGAGGUGGAGAAUCCAUCUACCACGGAGGGAAUUCGGGAAUGGCCGAGGGAGCAGGGGCUGGGUAUGGAUACUCUGCACCCCUGAGUGACACCCUAAGCACGGGGAGGGUCUCUGAGGGCUCAGGGUACUACGGGGGAGGGUAUGGCUAUGGGACACAGGGAACUGGGACAUUCCUCGGCCCAGAGCUCAGCCCUGCGGGCGGGGAAUGCGCCCAGGUGGUGCAGCAGAAAUGCCCCGUGGUCGUCCCCCCCGUCAAGACCCAGCAGUGCAAACAGAGCACCCACUGGCCCCCCAUCCAGAAGAAGUGACUGGCCCAGCAGCCUCUGCCACAUCCCCAAAGUGCUCCUGGAUGUGCUGCAGUGGAAUUUUCCCCCAUGGUGUCAUGACAUCACAGAGCUGUGCGUUCCUCGCGUGAGGCUGUGCUGACAACAGUUGCCCAGGAGCUGCUGGAAAAAAAGGGUUUGUGCUGUGGUGAUGGGCAAAGAUAUUUUUCUCCAUCUCCUCUGGAUCAUGGGUUGGAAAAUAAAACCUCACAGUCUGUGGGUAGUUUCA
rnacentral:lncRNA from 1 species